GUGCAGUCCUCCACAGAGGCUGAGGAGAGGCCAGCGGAUAGAUCCAUAAAGAAGAAUGCAGAGGUGAAGGAUACUCAACAGAAUGCUGUCCUGAUGUGCAUGAAGCCCUGGGUUCCGUUCUCAGCACCAAAUAUACUGGGCCUGCUGGUAUAAGCUGGUGAUCUCAGCACACAGGAAGUGAAGGCAGGAGAGUCAGAAGGUAUAUAAACUAUUUAUUAAGAGCAAAGGCCCAGAGACUCAUUUCUUCUUGGAUACACCCACAGUUUGGCCCCUGCGGCCAGUGGUCUUGGUGUGCUGACCGCGGACACGAAGGCCCCAAAAGUGGUGCAGCCCUCUAUGGGCUCGAAUUUUCUUCAGCCGCUCCAGGUCCUCACGCAGCUUGUUGUCUAGACCGUUGGCCAGAACCUGGCUGUACUUCCCAUCCUUCACAUCCUUCUGUCUGUUCAGGAACCAGUCUGGGAUCUUGUACUGUCGUGGGUUCUGCAUGAUGGUGAUCACUCGCUCCACCUCGUCCUCCGUGAGUUCUCCAGCCCUCUUGGUGAGGUCGAUGUCUGCUUUCCUCAACACCACAUGAGCAUAUCUCCGCCCCACGCCCUUAAUGGCAGUGAUGGCGAAGGCUAUUUUCCGCCGCCCAUCGAUGUUGGUGUUGAGUACUCGCAAAAUGUGCUGGAACUUCUCAGGGAUCACUAGAGACAUGGCGGCGGCACAGACGGCGGCGUGUAGGCCUCCUGUGGAAGAGCGGUUUAUUUCUUUAUCACUCAUUAGCUCCAGUUCUGUAUAGGUCUGGUUUUUGUUUUUUGUUUUGUUUUGUUUUGUUUUUAAUUGUCCUCGGUUUGAUGAUCCACAUCAGGUUCUUUCCUAUCAAGGGCAGAGGCUAAGAUUCAGUUUUCGCUUUGUUUUCUUUUAUAUUUAACAAGAGCUGUUGGCUUGUGAUGACUUUGCUGUGUUCGGUACACUUGCCCAUCUCACAGGAUAAAUGGAAGUUCAAACACUAUCAGGAUAGACCUACAGGCUAUCGGCUGUCCUUUUGCUGUCCUUUUGUGUAUUGGUUAUUAAACACGUAGAGUUAUG